CCUACGGGAGGCAGCAGUGAGGAAUAUUGGUCAAUGGGCGCGAGCCUGAACCAGCCAAGUCGCGUGAGGGAAGACGGUCCUAUGGAUUGUAAACUUCUUUUGUCGGGGAGCAAAUGACGCCACGCGUGGCGUUCCGAGAGUACCCGAAGAAAAAGGAUCGGCUAACUCCGUGCCCGACGCCGCGGUAAUACGGAGGAUGCGAGCGUUAUCCGGAUUUAUUGGGUUUAAAGGGUGCGUAGGCGGGAUAUUAAGUCAGAGGUAAAAGCCAGGGGCUCAACCCCGGCCGGCCGUUGAAACUGGCUGUCUUGAGAGGUCGAGAGGUAGGCGGAAUGCGCGGUGUAGCGGUGAAAUGCUUAGAUAUUACGCAGAACUCCGAUUGCGAAGGCAGCAUACCGGGGGCGAUCUGACGCUGAGGCACGAAAGCGUGGGUAUCGAACAGGAUUAGAUACCCGAGUAGUC
rnacentral:rRNA from 1 species